UACAGAGGUCUCAAGCGUUGUUCGGAUUCAUUGGGCGUAAAGGGUGCGUAGGUGGCGCGUUAAGUCAGGUGUGAAAUUUCGGAGCUUAACUCCGAAACUGCAUUUGAUACUGGCGUGCUUGAGGACUAGAGAGGAGACUGGAAUUCAUGGUGUAGCAGUGAAAUGCGUAGAGAUCAUGAGGAAGACCAGUGGCGAAGGCGGGUCUCUGGACAGUUCCUGACACUGAGGCACGAAGGCCAGGGGAGCAAACGGG
rnacentral:rRNA from 1 species